rnacentral:misc_RNA from 1 species
UUAUGAUUCUCAAGACAUUUUCCGGGAUACUUCUGAUGUGGCGGACAGUGAUAUUUCUUCUGCCAAUUCAAGUGACGAUGAUGAAUCUCCUUGCAGUUCAAUGAGAAGUUUCAGUAUGUACCCUGCAACAGCAAAUGGUGAAAUUUCUCUGCAUACACCAACUUCACUUGAUGAACCUCAUAAGAGAAGAAAACUUUUGAAGUCUAUCAGUAAGCGAUUCAAUGUUGAUAUGCUCUCUGAGGAGCCCUUUUCUGAAUCUAUUGACUCACAACUACAUGGUGAGCCCUCUGACAGAAGUACUUCUGAAGUAGUUGAAGCCUCCCAGUACAAAGAUAUUUUGCUUUUGUUUCGGUUUAAUCAUCGUGAUUUCCCUUUCAAACUGAGAGACAUCAUUCUUUCGGACUUACGGCUUCUUAGACUACUGGAAGCUGGGCUUCCGUCAUGGGUCAUAUUUCUCCAGUCCUAUCCAGUAUUUUGCCAUAUUUAUCGCCCAUGGAUGUGCCCUCUAGCAAGAUUUUUAUAUGUCAUAAUCUCUGUGGUUACUGUUCUGAUUGGAUUUUAUGAUCUAUACAAAAAUGUACCUGUACUCAAAGCGACAGCAUCUAGUUUGUUUGGUCCUCUUUUUGAUUGGAUUGAAACAUGGGAAAUGGUAUCAAGAAUUCAGUACUUGGGAACCAUGCUAUUUCUGCACAAUUUUCAGAAGGCCUUCAGGUGGUUCCUCAUGACAAUGCGUACUACUCGGUCAUUUUUCUCCGUUCUCACACAGCCAAUGGCAGGUCCACUUGUUGAGUUUGUGGGAUUCUUCCUUCCUUACUCGACUAUGUGUGCACAAAUUAUGGAAGAUUUCUUUUCCGUGAUAUGGUUUACAGUCUGGUCUUCUUAUACCUUGGUGGGAAAAACCAUUGAGAUUUUAUUACUACCUCUCUGGUAUAUCACAUCGUUUAUUUGGAAUCUUGUGACUUAUUUAUUGUAUCCUAUCUUCUGGAUUCUGUGGGAAGUAGCGUAUGCUCCAAUUCGGCUGGUCUUUGGUUUUUCCAGCCUUCUGGGCUUUUUAUGUACUUCUAUAUAUGAAGUGAUUAUGGAUUCGUGGCUGUUCGUGAGUAGCAUAGUUCGAGUCACUUCUCAGGUGGAGACUACAGUGACAUCCAGUGCAGUAUCCGUAUCCAUAUGGCGUUCUCUUUGGAAUGACCUUUUCUCUCAGAUUUUCAAAGCUCUUCGAAGUAUUCUCUAUGGUUUUGUUGCCUUUUUCACAGCCUGCAACAGACACCGGCUAAGUAUCUAUAAUCAUAUGAGUGAUUUUAUACAAAGAUUAUCCCAGCCUGGGAAAAGGUCACAGCCUGCAGAACGUGGCCGCAGUCCGCCAACAUCUGGAACACAAAUCACGUGGGUGAACACAAAAGAUGUGCAGCACCAGCGAAAAUUCAGAAAGAUCGAUUGAUGAUAGCAGAGAAACGUCUGCACCUUUAAAUUGUACAGCAGAAGUUAACUCCAUCCCUGACCAGGAAGCUUUCCGCUGGUGGCAUGUAAGAUAAGGACUAUCUUCAAGUGAAAAUAUCAUAUAGAAAGUCAGUUAUUUGGCUUCUCCUUGGCUGUUGCGCCACGAGAUUUUUUGUUUCAAUCUACUUAGUUAUCGUCCCCUUAAUAGUGUUCAUUCAGUAUGGAGCCUCCACCUAGAAGAGCUUGUAGUAUACCAGAAAAUGUCUUGUAAAUAAUGCAAGCAUUGAGAUACUUUUGAA